ACGGGAGGCAGCAGUGGGGAAUAUUGCACAAUGGGCGCAAGCCUAAUGCAGCGAUGCCGCGUGAGGGAAGAAGGUUUUCGGAUUGUAAACCUCUGUCAUCGGGGACGAUAAUGCCUGUACCCGAGAAGGAAGCUCCGGCUAACUACGUGCCAGCAGCCGCGGUAAUACGUAGGGAUCGAGCGUUAUCCGGAAUUACUGGGUGUAAAGGGAGUGUAGGCGGGACGGUAAGUCAGAUGUGAAAUAUACCGGCUCAACUGGUAGACUGCAUUUGAACCUGCGGUUCUUGAGUGAAGUAGAGGUAAGCGGAAUUCCUAGUGUAGCGGUGAAAUGCGUAGAUAUUAGGAGGAACAUCAGUGGCGAAGGCGGCUUACUGGGCUUUAACUGACGCUGAGGCUCGAAAGCGUGGCGAGCAAACAGGAUUAGAUACCCUGGUA
rnacentral:rRNA from 1 species